UAUCAACUUUCGAUGGUAGGAUAGAGGCCUACCAUGGUGGUAACGGGUAACGGGGUGUUAGGGCACGACACCGGAGAGGGAGCCUGAGAAACGGCUACCACAUCCAAGGAUGGCAGCAGGCGCGCAAAUUACCCAAUCCCGACACGGGGAGGUAGUGACAAUAAAUAACAAUACGGGGUUCUUUCGGAUCUCGUAAUUGGAAUGAGUACAAUUUAAAUCUCUUAACGAGGAACAAUUGGAGGGCAAGUCUGGUGCCAGCAGCCGCGGUAAUUCCAGCUCCAAUAGCGUAUAUUAAAGUUGUUGCAGUUAAAAAGCUCGUAGUUGAAUUUCGGGGUCAGUAGGUUGGUCGUGCCACAGGUAUGAACUGGUCUCACUGAUUCCUCCUUCCUGAUGAACCGUAAUGCCAUUAAUUUGGUGUUGCGGGGAGACUGGACUGUUACUUUGAAAAAAUUAGAGUGUUUAAAGCAGGCUAACGCUUGAAUACAUUAGCAUGGAAUAAUGAAAUAGGACGUUCGGUCUUAUUUUGUUGGUUUCUAAGAUUGACGUAAUGAUUAAUAGGGAUAGUUGGGGGCAUUAGUAUUCAAUUGUCAGAGGUGAAAUUCUUGGAUUUAUUGAAGACUAACUACUGCGAAAGCAUUUGCCAAGGAUGUUUUCAUUAAUCAAGAACGAAAGUUAGGGGAUCGAAGACGAUCAGGUACCGUCGUAGUCUUAACCAUAAACUAUGCCGACUAGGGAUCGGAUGAUGUUAAUUUUUUAAUGACUCAUUCGGCGCCUUACGGGAAACCAAAGUGUUUGGGUUC
rnacentral:rRNA from 1 species